rnacentral:rRNA from 1 species
GACGAACGCUGGCGGCGUGCUUAACACAUGCAAGUCGAACGGAAAGGCCCUGCUUUUGUGGGGUUCUCGAGUGGCGAACGGGUGAGUAACACGUGAGUAACCUGCCCUUGACUUUGGGAUAACUUCAGGAAACUGGGGCUAAUACCGGAUAGGAGCUCCUGCUGCAUGGUGGGGGUUGGAAAGUUUCGGCGGUUGGGGAUUGACUCGCGGCUUAUCAGCUUGUUGGUGGGGUAGUGGCUUACCAAGGCUUUGACGGGUAGCCGGCCUGAGAGGGUGACCGGCCACAUUGGGACUGAGAUACGGCCCAGACUCCUACGGGAGGCAGCAGUGGGGAAUAUUGCACAAUGGGCGGAAGCCUGAUGCAGCAACGCCGCGUGCGGGAUGACGGCCUUCGGGUUGUAAACCGCUUUCGCCUGUGACGAAGCGUGAGUGACGGUAAUGGGUAAAGAAGCACCGGCUAACUACGUG